GAAACCGCGUUGACGCACUUCGCGUCACGGAUCGGCGCUGACGGCGGCCGUUAAUAAUAAUAUUAAUAAUUGUCGAAAACAGCAUUUAGGUAUUAAGAUUGUGUACAACAACUCAAGCGAACACGCGAAUUAAAAAAAAAAAAAAAUGAAAUAACUAGUUGUAGCAGUAUCAUCAACCAUGUGGGUCAAACUAGAGCGAGAUGAAAACAAAACAAACGGCAAAUAUAGAUGAUAUUCUCGGUACGGGUUGAGUGUUCCUGCAGUGGUUUUCACGAGUUGUUUUUUUUCGCACCGAUCGAGGCGCAAGAGAGAUCUACCGCGUUCAUAUAACUGCCGUGGCGAUUUCUAUCUCUGCAGUAUUUUCAGUACUGACAACUGGUAAUUACCGGGCUUACCUACCGACAUGUUGAGUUGGACCACUACACGAUAUUGUACUAUUAUAUAGUAUUUUUUCCUGAAAUUUGAAAAUGUAAAAUCAAGGGAUGCCUGCACGAUACAUAUGAUUUGCAGUAGACUGCCGAUAAAUAACGACAUUAUAUUACCUCUCCAUACAGGAUACAGUUGCAUAAAGCAAAUACCUGCAAUAUGCUCUCUUGAAAAGUUAAACAAUAUGUAAACAUACAUAUAGGUAGCUACACUACUUAAGUAAGUUAGUAUAAAAUAGUUAGAAGUGUUAACCUAAGUGUAAGGAAGUUUUUUUUUUUGUAACGGUUAUUGUUGCAACGAGGUUAAUUAUUUUUACCUAAAAGUAAUAUAUAAUAGCAAAUUGAAAACCGUGUAAUUAGUGUUAUUUGUUUAGACUAGCCUAUAGAAAAUAAAUGUCCAUACGUCAUAGACCCAAAC